GGGGUCAGAGCUCAGUGGUAAAGCUUUGCAUACAGAAAGCCCUGGGUUCAAUCCCUGGUGUCUUCA